rnacentral:lncRNA from 1 species
AACACCAAAUCCCUAAAAUUACAGAUAAUUUGUAAACAUUAAAAGCAAUUGCGCACGCACGCAGCCCCUUUCUCUCAACAGCACGCACGCCGCCAGCACACUUAGCCCAUGCAGCAGCAACCGAGCACGGUAGCAACAGGCCACCAGCAGUCGCUCUCUCUCUCACGCACACGCAGCAGCAAGCCAACACCAAUAGCCCCUCUUUCUCAUGCUCACUCUCUACUAUGACGAAGUCAACACUAUAGCCCUCUUACGUACUCAAGAAAACUCUAACCCAUAUCCAAACCCUCGCCGUCGAAGAAAACCCAAUCCUUAAUGGCUUGAAAUUAAAGCCUCCGCCGUCAAUCACCAUCGAACCAAAUAAACCCUAGCCUUACCAUCACUCUUCAUUUGACUCGCUGAAGAAAGCACUCUAUUAGGUAAGUCUCUGUUGUUUGAUAAUAUAUCUGCACUCUUUGUUGGCCGAAGCUUUUAGACAAUUGCUUUGAUUCAAUUGCUUCGAUUGGUUAGUUCUCUGUGAUUAAUUAGUUAGUUACUUUUAAUUUCAUAUUUUCAUCUCUAACAGUGAAUUUGGGAGUCGUUUUCUCUAUCGGAUUUGUAAUUUUUGCUACGGAUCAAAAACAUCUUGAAGGUGUUUUCAUAUCUAACAACUUGAACUAUCAUUUAUUUUGUCCUAUUAAUGUUCAAUUUUUUUUUUCUUUUUUAUUAGUAUGACAAUUAGUCGAAUGUCCUUGCACAUAAAACAAUCUUUUAACUUGGCGUUGGAAUAUUUGUUUUGAGUUGUGUCCCCUUAAUCAGUGACCAUACAAAAGUUCCCCAUGAUAAAGUGUUUAGCCCUAUUAAUGCCAUAAAGUCUUGCUCUCAAUUUUUCUGAUUAUGCCUAUGGAUUGAUUACCUAUUUCAUUUACAAAUUCAAUUGGCAAAUGUACAAUGCCUGCAUGACACUCACAUUUGGGUUAUAAUGGUAGUCAUUAUGAGGAAGAAGGUUAGAAUAACAUCAGGGGAAACAUCUGGGAGAAGGUAUGUACUGUCAAGCUCUUUGUUAGAAUCAUCACGAAAUUUAUAUUGGAUCGUGGCUGUUCUAUGUGAUGCAUUUUGGAUUUGCUCUUGCUAGACAUGCAAAAACUUGUAAAAUGUAUUUUUUUUUUCCCAUUUUAGAUUUACUAUCUAGUAUCUUGUAGGUUUAAUCUAAAAUAGAAACCAUUCAGGAUACUGGACACAAUUCUAAUGAAGAGAAAAGAUGUUAGACUUUAGUAUUCAACCUUUUUUUUUUAGCCAUAUUUCUAGACCCCAAGUUUAUGUCAUGAUAAUUGUGUGAUUGAUAAGAUAUUUUGGUUUUAGACUGUAUCUCAUGGAUUUAGAGUUCGAUUAUAUUUGGAAGUGGAAUAAUGCAUUCAUUUACAUAUGAUGUUUGAUGAAGUUCCCAUAAAAUUAAUUCAAUUAUAUAUGCUUAUGGUUCUAAGGAAGCGGGGCAAAAAUUUUAUCAGUGGGUUGAUUUCACUAGUUCAAGUUAGUAAAGCAAAGAAAUUGUCUUUAUGCACUUUAACUUUCCUCCAUUUAAGUUAAAAAAAUUAUUGAAGCUUUUGGAAGUGAAUUGUUCAUUUUGUUUGUGCACUUAUGCAGAUGGAUUUACUUUUGGCUGCUUAACCCUUCCUCACUUAUAUUUUUUCAGUUUAAAUUGCAGUGUUUUACUGCUGUGCAACAGCACAAGAGGUUGUUUUAUUGUUGUUUCUAUAAAAACACAGCACCAGGAAGCGUCCAGGUAAUGUUUCGCUGCUGUUAUGCAGUAAAAACAACACCUGAAAGUUUCUAGGUGCUAUUUUUACUGCUGUUUACGCAGAAACACAGCACCUAAAAGUGUCUCUAAGUUCUGUUUAGCUGCUAUUAUGCAGCAAAAACAGCACUUGGAAACUUCCAAGUGCUGUUUUUAUUGCAUUUUAUGCAGAAACAAAGCACCUAGAAGCAUUCAAGGGUUGCUUUACUGUUGUUUUGUAUUUAAAAUUGGUCUUAGAAAUUUUGGGUGCUAUUUCGCUGAAAUUUUGCUACUAACAGUGCAGCUUAAUAAUUUCAUAUGUCGUUUUGAACCUUCUUCAGUUCUUUUCUCUUAUGUCUAUACUUAAUCUUUUCCCCCCUUGGUAAUAAGCAGGUACAAUUUUUGCAAGGUAAUAUCUAAGCAUGCUGUUAAUUCUUUGGUUGAGACGUAGUAUUCUAAACUUCAGGCCUUAAUUUUUUUAUUUCCAAGUGUAUAAUGGGUAGGUACUGGAUCUCUUAUGGAUGAUGUAGUUAAUGCUUUUUUAUUGUCUCUAUUUUGGCAAAUGUGUUGUCAUUUAUUAUCUGAACACAUGGUUGAUUAACUUACUUGAGGUAAGUCUAUUAAUUAAUAGUGAUAUGGUACUUUAAAGUCUUGUUUUACAACUUAAGUCACUAAAGUGAUUUAAUAUUUAUGAUUUAUAAUAUAUGAAUAUAUCUUAAUUUCUCUUUAUUCUUUGUAAGAAUGAUGUAGAUUGCUGAAGCUGGUGAGAUUCAUUUGCAAUUAAAGACUUGAUGAGAAAUUAGAUGUACUCACACAUGCCAAUCUUGUUGGUUGCUAGUGCAUUCACUAGUAGAAGUUUAAUGAUUGUUGGAGAUUUUUGUAGAGCUAUCUCUUUGUAUAUGAAACAUUUGCAUCAUUUUGUAUAUGAAACAUUUGAGAAAAAUAAUUGUAAAGAAUUUAAUAUGAAAUUAGAAUUAAAAUAGGAGCUUGAAAUAGCCUUAAAUUUGCCA